rnacentral:rRNA from 1 species
GACGAACGCUGGCGGCGUGCUUAACACAUGCAAGUCGAACGGAAAGGCCCUGCUUUUGUGGGGUGCUCGAGUGGCGAACGGGUGAGUAACACGUGAGUAACCUGCCCUUGACUUUGGGAUAACUUCAGGAAACUGGGGCUAAUACCGGAUAGGAGCUCCUGCUGCAUGGUGGGGGUUGGAAAGUUUCGGCGGUUGGGGAUGGACUCGCGGCUUAUCAGCUUGUUGGUGGGGUAGUGGCUUACCAAGGCUUUGACGGGUAGCCGGCCUGAGAGGGUGACCGGCCACAUUGGGACUGCGAUACGGCCCAGACUCCUACGGGAGGCAGCAGUGGGGAAUAUUGCACAAUGGGCGGAAGCCUGAUGCAGCAACGCCGCGUGCGGGAUGACGGCCUUCGGGUUGUAAACCGCUUUCGCCUGUGACGAAGCGUGCGUGACGGUAAUGGGUAAAGAAGCACCGGCUAACUACGUG